UGCCCAAAGAGGAACAGCAAGCUCUUCGGGGCAGGGAGGGCCUUUAGACAGGCCUGAGUUCCCUAGGGCCUCUCACGGGACAGGUGGUCCCUCAACACUCCCCCUGUAGCCAAUUCUGAGACACUUGUUCUCCCCGCAUUGAUGGUCCUGGAACCCCUACACUUCACCUGUAUGGUGAAGGCGCUAAUACGCACUUUGAAGAGCUUGAUGUGAUGAGGAAAUAAAACAGAUGGAUCUCUUUCUGCACCAGGUCCUGAGUGCUCCCCGAACCCCACAAGCCCCAGGGCCUGUUACUAUCCCCAUGUGACAGUGGGGAAGGACCUUGGUGCCUCUUCCUUCUGUCCCCUGGAGGACCACUGACCUGACUCACGAAAGGCUGGGCUUGUGGGGGCACUCUCGGGACUCAAGGGCAAACACUGCUCUACAAUCAGGGUGACCCACAGCCCCCCUCACAGGUGCAGACCCCUCUGGGUGGAGGUCUCCCCUCACAUCUCCCAUUUCUGAGGCCUCCACCUCAUCUAUGCCUUUGUGGAGAGGCCCCAGGAGUCUUGUUUCCCUCUUCCCAGGGGCCCAUCAGGACAUCACAAAGGGCUUUCUCAGAUCUCUCACCUCCCACCCGGAGGCUCAGGCUGCUGCAGGCAGGGUUGGCUUUGAAAACCACUGUCUUCUUUCUACUAAGCCUGGAAGGUCCUCAACACAGAGAUGACACUCAAGAAAUGCUACUUUCAUCCCCAAGGACCCGAACCUGCUCCGGGAGGACGUCCAAGUCCUGCCUCUUCCUGUCCUCCCUCUCUCCCCUCUCUCUUCCAUCCGCAUGCAGGGAGAAAGGGGAGAAACUCUGAUUUGUGAGAUGCUGGUCAUGCAGGACAGCAGAUCUGGGAGGGCUCACCCCUGGUGCCCCCAGGAUGACCAUGCUGAGUGUGAUCAGUGGAGAACAGCAGGUGGCACAAAUCAGAAACUCAGGAAAGCCUUCAUAGAGGUGAUCCCAAGCGCAGGAAAAAUCAGCAGACGGGCUACACAGGAAAUUUGGGCAAACCCCAGGGCUGCAGAACAAGAGGCCUUCGGGAACCAUCAGGACUUUGCUGAGCGCUGGACCUUGGCCCAGGAGAGGAGAGAAGACAGGAGACGGGGCCAGGGCCUCAUCUGGAGGAGUGGUUCAAACUAGGAACCUGCUGGCUGGUGAUGAGUAUCGAAGCAUCCAGUGAAAAUCAGCUGUGGGUGAUACAGACCUUCCAUAGAUCCCAGCACAAGUCAUCUAAGCAAGCAAUCCCCGUAAGGCGUGAUCCUGGAUGAAGCACAACUGGAAAAUUCACCCGCCAUCUUGUCACAUCGCUUUAGGUGAC
rnacentral:lncRNA from 12 species